rnacentral:tRNA from 1 species
GAGGGUGUAGCUCAAUGGUAGAGAACACACUUACCAUGCAUGAAAGCCUGGGUUCAGUCCCCAACACACACA